GACGAACGCUGGCGGCGUGCUUAACACAUGCAAGUCGAACGGAAAGGCCCUGCUUUUGUGGGGUGCUCGAGUGGCGAACGGGUGAGUAACACGUGAGUAACCUGCCCUUGACUUUGGGAUAACUUCGGGAAACUGGGGCUAAUACCGGAUAGGAGCUCCUGCUGCAUGGUGGGGGUUGGAAAGUUUCGGCGGUUGGGGAUGGACUCGCGGCUUAUCAGCUUGUUGGUGGGGUAGUGGCUUACCAAGGCUUUGACGGGUAGCCGGCCUGAGAGGGUGACCGGCCACAUUGGGCUGAGAUACGGCCCAGACUCCUACGGGAGGCAGCAGUGGGGAAUAUUGCACAAUGGGCGGAAGCCUGAUGCAGCAACGCCGCGUGCGGGAUGACGGCCUUCGGGUUGUAAACCGCUUUCGCCUGUGACGAAGCGUGAGUGACGGUAAUGGGUAAAGAAGCACCGGCUAACUACGUG
rnacentral:rRNA from 1 species